rnacentral:rRNA from 1 species
CGCGAAUUCGCCCUUCGGGGUGCAGCAGGCGCGAAAACUUUACAAUGCGGGAAACCGUGAUAAGGGGACACCGAGUGCCAGCAUCAUAUGCUGGCUGUCCAGGUGUGUAAAAUACACCUGUUAGCAAGGGCCGGGCAAGACCGGUGCCAGCCGCCGCGGUAACACCGGCGGCCCGAGUGGUGAUCGUGAUUAUUGGGUCUAAAGGGUCCGUAGCCGGUUUGGUCAGUCCUCCGGGAAAUCUGAUAGCUUAACUAUUAGGCUUUCGGAGGAUACUGCCAGACUUGGAACCGGGAGAGGUAAGAGGUACUACAGGGGUAGGAGUGAAAUCUUGUAAUCCCUGUGGGACCACCUGUGGCGAAGGCGUCUUACCAGAACGGGUUCGACGGUGAGGGACGAAAGCUGGGGGCACGAACCGGAUUAGAUACCCGGGUAGUCCCAGCCGUAAACGAUGCUCGCUAGGUGUCAGGCAUGGCGCGACCGUGUCUGGUGCCGCAGGGAAGCCGUGAAGCGAGCCACCUGGGAAGUACGGCCGCAAGGCUGAAACUUAAAGGAAUUGGCGGGGGAGCAC